rnacentral:misc_RNA from 1 species
UAUCAUUCGACUCUCUCCCCUCUCACUUUCUCCGCACCUUCCUCUCAUCACCCAAGUCUUCAGCGGGCAUUUCCUCGGCCGUAUCAACACCGAAACCUUAUGGCUGAAAGCCCGUCUCAGUCCCCGACACCCGCCUCUGUAUCGGAAACCGAUACGUCUCACUAUUGGUGCUACAACUGCAACAAACGUGUCUCCAUCGAAACCCUAGCCAAUCGACCAGAUGUUAUCUGCCUUGAGUGCAAGAAUGGUUUCGUUGAAUCAAUUCCCGCCCCGUCAACUUCGCCCUCCGCCACGCCUUCCUUAAUCUCAGACCAGGCCGAUGAUUCGACUUUCGGAUCCCAGUUCCUUCAAAUGCUUCGCAUAAUUGCGCAGGCGGCGCGUGAUGAGGACGCGCCUCCUCCUCUCCCGCAGGACCACCAAUCCGAGGACGAUUUUCUCAGGAUCGAGCUUAAUGAAUGGGACAAUGACGAAGAUGAAGACGAGGAUGACGAUGAUGCGAACGAGAACGAGAACGAGAACGAGAACGAAAACGAAAACGAAAACGAAAACGAAGGGAACAGAGAUGAAGGAGAGCAUGACGAUGAAGAAGGGGAGGAUCGAUCUGAUAACGAGAAUGAAGAGAACAGAGAGGAAGAUUUUGAAGAUCUGAGGUCAAGGCAGCGCGAUAUUCUCCGUCUCCGGAUCCGGGACUUUGCCACCCGAGCGAGGAGUGGGCGUAACCGGAUCCUUGACUGGGCUGAGAUUCUGAUGGGACUGGAAGACAACUCGAUUGAAUUUCGCCUUGAAGUCCCGGAAACCGAUAGAUACAUAGGCAAUCCGGAGGAUUACGUGGAUGCCGCUGGAUACGAGGCGCUGCUGCAGAACUUGGCUGAGAGUGAUGGUGGAAGGAGAGGGGCUCCACCUGCGGCAAAAUCUGCAGUGUCAGCGUUGCCAACGAUUGAGAUCACGUCAGAGGCGGAGACUCUGGUAUGUGCCAUAUGCAAGGAUAUGGUUAAUGUUGGUGAAACGGAGACGAAAUUGCCUUGUGGACAUGGGUACCAUAGGGACUGCAUUGUGCCGUGGUUGGGUUCUAGGAAUUCUUGUCCUGUUUGUAGGUUUGAGUUGCCAACGGAUGAUUCAGAGUAUGAGGAGGACAGAAAGAAGGAAGCGGCAGGCACUGCAGGCGGAGCUUCAAGUUCUGGCGAUGGUAGUUUGGGUUCCACUUGAUUGGAACUGGUAUGCAAGUCAAUUUAAAAGUUUUACUCUCGUGUAGUUUAAAUGUUUCAUGAACCUUUGGUUGUUUAUUUACUUUUGUGGAGUAGAUAAAGCUGGAUUUGCUUUCAUUUGCAUCUGAAUGUAAAUAAUAUUUACUCAGUUUGGUUUUCUUUUCUGUCAUGUAUAAUCCAAUCUUUUUCAGUUGAAACAGGCACUUGAGCUGAAAGCGUUUACAUUUUAGUGAAUAGAUAGGUGAGGUUUGUAG